GGGGACCUCGAGUGCUGGGUUACAAACCUGGCUGUUGGGCUGCCUAAAAAGCAGUCUAUAGCAAGGGCCGGGCAAGACCGGUGCCAGCCGCCGCGGUAAUUCAAUAUCA
rnacentral:rRNA from 1 species